rnacentral:rRNA from 1 species
CUUUCUACGGAGAGUUUGAUCCUGGCUCAGGAUGAACGCUAGCGGCGUGCCUAAUGCAUGCAAGUCGAACGGGAUCCCUUGGACUCGUCUGAGGGUGAGAGUGGCGAACGGGUGAGUAACACGUUGGUGACCUGCCCCAGAGUGGGGGAUAACCACUGGAAACGGUGGCUAAUACCCCAGAUGUUAUCAGGGUUAGAGACCUGAUAACUGAAGCUCCGGCGCUCUGGGAGGGGCCUGCGGCCCAUCAGCUAGUUGGUAGGGUAAUGGCCUACCAAGGCGAAGACGGGUAGGGGGCGUGAGAGCGUGGCCCCCCACACUGGUACUGAGACACGGACCAGAUACCUACGGGUAGCAGCAGCAAGGAAUAUUGCGCAAUGGGCGAAAGCCUGACGCAGCAACGCCGCGUGGAGGAUGAAGGCCUUCGGGUUGUAAACUCCUUUUCUGGGGGAUGAGGAAGGACAGUACCCCAGGAAUAAGUCUCGGCUAACUACGUGCCAGCAGCCGCGGUAAAACGUAGGAGGCGAGCGUUAUCCGGAUUUACUGGGCGUAAAGCGCAUGCAGGCGGUCUUCUAAGUCGGACGUGAAAGCUCCUGGCUCAACUGGGAGAGGCCGUUCGAAACUAGGAGACUUGAGGGUGGCAGAGGAGAGUGGAAUUCCCGGUGUAGUGGUGAAAUGCGUAGAUAUCGGGAGGAACACCAGUGGCGAAGGCGGCUCACUGGCCCGAUACUGACGCUGAGGCACGAAAGCGUGGGGAGCAAACAGGAUUAGAAACCCGUGUAGUCC